AUGAGAGUUUGAUCCUGGCUCAGGACGAACGCUGGCGGCGUGCCUAAUACAUGCAAGUCGAGCGAGCGGAACUAACAGAUUUACUUCGGUAAUGACGUUAGGAAAGCGAGCGGCGGAUGGGUGAGUAACACGUGGGGAACCUGCCCCAUAGUCUGGGAUACCACUUGGAAACAGGUGCUAAUACCGGAUAAGAAAGCAGAUCGCAUGAUCAGCUUUUAAAAGGCGGCGUAAGCUGUCGCUAUGGGAUGGCCCCGCGGUGCAUUAGCUAGUUGGUAAGGUAAAGGCUUACCAAGGCGAUGAUGCAUAGCCGAGUUGAGAGACUGAUCGGCCACAUUGGGACUGAGACACGGCCCAAACUCCUACGGGAGGCAGCAGUAGGGAAUCUUCCACAAUGGACGCAAGUCUGAUGGAGCAACGCCGCGUGAGUGAAGAAGGUUUUCGGAUCGUAAAGCUCUGUUGUUGGUGAAGAAGGAUAGAGGUAGUAACUGGCCUUUAUUUGACGGUAAUCAACCAGAAAGUCACGGCUAACUACGUGCCAGCAGCCGCGGUAAUACGUAGGUGGCAAGCGUUGUCCGGAUUUAUUGGGCGUAAAGCGAGCGCAGGCGGAAGAAUAAGUCUGAUGUGAAAGCCCUCGGCUUAACCGAGGAACUGCAUCGGAAACUGUUUUUCUUGAGUGCAGAAGAGGAGAGUGGAACUCCAUGUGUAGCGGUGGAAUGCGUAGAUAUAUGGAAGAACACCAGUGGCGAAGGCGGCUCUCUGGUCUGCAACUGACGCUGAGGCUCGAAAGCAUGGGUAGCGAACAGGAUUAGAUACCCUGGUAGUCCAUGCCGUAAACGAUGAGUGCUAAGUGUUGGGAGGUUUCCGCCUCUCAGUGCUGCAGCUAACGCAUUAAGCACUCCGCCUGGGGAGUACGACCGCAAGGUUGAAACUCAAAGGAAUUGACGGGGGCCCGCACAAGCGGUGGAGCAUGUGGUUUAAUUCGAAGCAACGCGAAGAACCUUACCAGGUCUUGACAUCUAGUGCCAUUUGUAGAGAUACAAAGUUCCCUUCGGGGACGCUAAGACAGGUGGUGCAUGGCUGUCGUCAGCUCGUGUCGUGAGAUGUUGGGUUAAGUCCCGCAACGAGCGCAACCCUUGUUAUUAGUUGCCAGCAUUAAGUUGGGCACUCUAAUGAGACUGCCGGUGACAAACCGGAGGAAGGUGGGGAUGACGUCAAGUCAUCAUGCCCCUUAUGACCUGGGCUACACACGUGCUACAAUGGGCAGUACAACGAGAAGCGAGCCUGCGAAGGCAAGCGAAUCUCUGAAAGCUGUUCUCAGUUCGGACUGCAGUCUGCAACUCGACUGCACGAAGCUGGAAUCGCUAGUAAUCGCGGAUCAGCACGCCGCGGUGAAUACGUUCCCGGGCCUUGUACACACCGCCCGUCACACCAUGGGAGUCUGCAAUGCCCAAAGCCGGUGGCCUAACCUUCGGGAAGGAGCCGUCUAAGGCAGGGCAGAUGACUGGGGUGAAGUCGUAACAAGGUAGCCGUAGGAGAACCUGCGGCUGGAUCACCUCCUUU
rnacentral:rRNA from 1 species